CACGUAGGCACCAAGCGUUGUCCGGAUUUAUUGGGCGUAAAGAGCUCGUAGGCGGUUCGUCGCGUCGGCUGUGAAAUCCCGAGGCUCAACCUCGGGUCUGCAGUCGAUACGGGCGGACUGGAGUUCGGCAGGGGAGACUGGAAUUCCUGGUGUAGCGGUGAAAUGCGCAGAUAUCAGGAGGAACACCGGUGGCGAAGGCGGGUCUCUGGGCCGAUACUGACGCUGAGGAGCGAAAGCGUGGGGAGCGAACAGG
rnacentral:rRNA from 1 species